CACGGAAUUAGCCGGUCCUUAUUCUAAGGCUACAUGCAACAGGGCACGCGUGCCCCUCUUUAUUCACCUUAAAAAGCAGUUUACAACCCAUAGGGCCGUCGUCCUGCACGCUACUUGGCUGGUUCAGGCUCUCGCCCAUUGACCAAUAUUCCUCACUGCUGCCUCCCGUAGGAGUUUGGACCGUGUCUCAGUUCCAAUGUGGGGGACCUUCCUCUCAGAACCCCUACUGAUCGAUGCCCCUGGUGGGCCGUUACCCCGCCAGCAAGCUAAUCAGACGCAUCCCCAUCCAUAACCGAUAAAUCUUUACUCUUAUUCCCAUGACAGGCAUAAGAGACCAUAAGGGAUUAGGCCGCAUUUCUACGGGGUAUUCCUUAGUUAUGGGAAGGUUGGAUACGCGUUACUCACCCGUGCGCCGGUCGACGACAAAGAAUAGCAAGCUAUUCUCCCGUUCCCCUCGACUUGCAUGUGUUAAGCCUGUAGCUAGUCGUUCACGUUCCUGUACGCC
rnacentral:rRNA from 1 species